AGCAGCCGCGGUAAUUCCAGCUCCAAUAGCGUAUAUUAAAGUUGUUGCAGUUAAAAAGCUCGUAGUUGAAUUUCGGGGUCUGUCCGUCGGUCGGGCUUCACGGUCCGUACUGGUGUGAUGGGUUCCUACCUUCUGAAUAACCGGCAUGCCAUUCAGUUGGUGCGCCGGGGGAGCAGAGCUAUUACCUUGAAAAAUUAGAGUGCUUAAAGCAGGCUAGUGCUUGAAUAGAUUAGCAUGGAAUAAUAAAAUAGGACGGCAUGGUUCUAUUUUGUGGUUUCUAGGAUCACCGUAAUGAUUAAUAGGGAUAGUUGGGGGCAUUAGUAUUCAAUUGUCAGAGGUGAAAUUCUUGGAUUUAUUGAAGACUAACUUCUGCGAAAGCAUUUGCCAAGGAUGUUUUCAUUAAUCAAGAACGAAAGUUAGGGGAUCGAAGACGAUCAGAUACCGUCGUAGUCUUAACCAUAAACUAUGCCGACUAGGGAUCGGACGAUGUUAAUUUUUAAUGACUCGUUCGGCGCCUUAC
rnacentral:misc_RNA from 1 species